ACCGAGAAUUUGAGGAAUUCCCAUUUUUGUAUAGCUCCUUUUGUGGCUAGACGGAGGUUCACAAUAUGGUGAUCACUUGAAGGACUACAGGAGAUACUGGCCUCUGUACUGUGUUCAAGUAUGGAGUCUGUAACUAACCAAUAAUCAAUUCUUGAUCUUGCCUGUCCAUUCGGUUUAAACCAAGUAUACUGCCUGAUGUUAGGAUUAAAAUAUCUCCAAGCAUCAGUAAGUCUGCAUUCAUUCAUAAAGUUUCGCAUAACUGGAUUUAAAGUUGCCUGUGAAUAUUUUGAUGGGUAUCUGUCCAGCCACUCAUCUGGCGUUAAAUUAAAAUCACCCGCAACGGCAACAUGUUGAGUGGGAUAAUUUUGUUGUAGCUUCUCAAUGACUGAUGUGACCUGCUGUAAUAGCUGUUUGUUUUUCUGAUCGUUAUUGUAUCCAUAAACAUUAACAACAAUAAACAAACUGUUAUCAAUA